UGAACAGAAAGAAAAAGUCUUUCCCUUUCAACGAGAUGGAGAUUUCAGGGUGGCGUUCAAUUUCAACAAUGACCAGUUUUACAUCAGACUCCCUGACGGCAAUGUGUUCAGCUUUCCAAACCGCUUUGGGGAUGACAGGUUCAUCCACCUCCAUGUGGAGGGAGAUGUGAAGAUUCACAGCUUUAAAGUUAUCUAAAAAACAAGCAAAUAAAAUGAGCCGUGAUAAUUUCACAUGGCUUUAA